rnacentral:tRNA from 1 species
GCGGGUGUAGCUCAACGGUAGAGCAUCAGCUUCCCAAGCUGAGGGUUGCGGGUUCGAUCCCCGUCACCCGCUCCA